rnacentral:rRNA from 1 species
UACGUAGGGGGCUAGCGUUGUCCGGAAUCAUUGGGCGUAAAGCGCGUGUAGGCGGCUCGGUAAGUCCGCUGUGAAAGUCGGGGGCUCAACCCUCGGAUGCCGGUGGAUACUGUCGGGCUCGAGUACGGAAGAGGCGAGUGGAAUUCCUGGUGUAGCGGUGAAAUGCGCAGAUAUCAGGAGGAACACCAAUGGCGAAGGCAGCUCGCUGGGACGUGACUGACGCUGAGACGCGAAAGCGUGGGGAGCAAACAGG